rnacentral:tRNA from 1 species
GUUUUAAUAGUUUAAAAUAAAACAUUGGUCUUGUAAACCAAAACUAAGAUCUCUUUUAAAACU